rnacentral:rRNA from 1 species
CUUCGGGGUGCAGCAGGCGCGAAAACUUUACAAUGCGGGAAACCGUGAUAAGGGGACACCGAGUGCCAGCAUCAUAUGCUGGCUGUCCAGGUGUGUAAAAUACACCUGUUAGCAAGGGCCGGGCAAGACCGGUGCCAGCCGCCGCGGUAACACCGGCGGCCCGAGUGGUGAUCGUGAUUAUUGGGUCUAAAGGGUCCGUAGCCGGUUUGGUCAGUCCUCCGGGAAAUCUGAUAGCUUAACUAUUAGGCUUUCGGAGGAUACUGCCAGACUUGGAACCGGGAGAGGUAAGAGGUACUACAGGGGUAGGAGUGAAAUCUUGUAAUCCCUGUGGGACCACCUGUGGCGAAGGCGUCUUACCAGAACGGGUUCGACGGUGAGGGACGAAAGCUGGGGGCACGAACCGGAUUAGAUACCCGGGUAGUCCCAGCCGUAAACGAUGCUCGCUAGGUGUCAGGCAUGGCGCGACCGUGUCUGGUGCCGCAGGGAAGCCGUGAAGCGAGCCACCUGGGAAGUACGGCCGCAAGGCUGAAACUUAAAGGAAUUGGCGGGGGAGCAC